rnacentral:tRNA from 1 species
GCCGAGGUCGCAUAACCUGGUAUUGCACAGCCCUGGAAAGGCUGGCCCUCACGGGCAUCUGGGUUCAAAUCCCAGCCUCGGCG